rnacentral:piRNA from 1 species
UUGAAGGUUUUGGAAGCUCUCUGGGUUUC